CCUACGAGAGGCAGCAGUGAGGAAUAUUGGUCAAUGGACGCAAGCCUGAACCAGCCAAGUAGCGUGCAGGAUGACGGCCCUACGAGUUGUAAACUGCUUUUAUACAAGGAUAAACGGAGACACGUGUACCUGUCUGUAAGUACCGUAUGCAUAAGGAACGGCUAACUCCGUGCCAGCAGCCGCGGGAAUACGGAGGAUGCAAUCGUUACCCGGAUUUAUUGGGUUUAAAGGGUGCGUAGUUGGUUGGUUAAGUUAGUGGUGAAAGCCUGCGGCUCAACUGCAGAAUUGCAUUUGAUACUGGCAGUCUGGAGUACAGGUGCCGUAGGCGGAAUGCGUGGUGUAGCGGUGAAAUGCUUAGAGAUCAUGCAGAACACCGGUUGCGAAGGCAGCUUACCAAGCUGCUUCUGACGUUGAGGCUCGAAAGCGUGGGUAGCAAACAGGAUUAGAUACCCGAGUAGUC
rnacentral:rRNA from 1 species